AGAUGAUGCUGGAGGGGGGAUCAAGAGGAGGAAAAAGAAAGGAUUGAAGAAACCUGUUCCUCCCCAGCCCCGCCCCACCCCAGGCUUCCUCCAGCUCCGAAACUCCCCAGGAGUAACUGGGGAAAUUGGGGAAGGGGAGAGAAUGUGGCAAGAUGGAAUCCAGCCAAGUGGAGAUGUCCAGAAAGAAGCUGGAAAUUCAGAAGAGAGUUGCAGAGCCAUGGCUGCGAUUAACAGUGGAUUUGGAGUCCCAGGACCAGGGUUCAGCUGCUUACUACUAGCAAGUCCGUUGACCUCCCGAGCCUCAGUUUCCUCUUUUAAGUAGAAGGUUGGACUUCGAGAAGACCCUAAAAGGCCAAAUCUACCACCUUGCGGACAAGCAACAGAUUGGCUUGCACUUGGCUGCGGAGGAGGACUAUUUUUUUAAAAUUAGGAACUAGAAAAUCAUGAACAUUUCCAUACAUAAAGGUCAGAAAGAGGACUAUAUGCAACUGUAAUCCACUUCAUACGGCUUAUUUUAAAAUAUAUAUAUAUGUACAUACAUUAUAUACGUGUACAUAUGUGCAUACAUACAUACACACAUACAUAUACACAAAUUUUCAGGCACCCAGACAUCUGGUCCUCGUCCUUCGCUGUCCUCAUCUCCACUUUUAAAAAGGAUUUUUUUUUUUUUUACUUUGCAUCAUAAUCACUGUUAGAGUUAGAAGGG